CGCCGGUGCCUCUCCCUCCACACCUCCCGGCAAACUGAGGGAGCCGGCUCCGGCCUGUGCCAGCCCAGAGACGGGCUCCCACAGUGCAGCGGGGGGCUGGAGGGCCCCUCAAACACGGCCAGAGUGGGUGCCAAGGCCGAGGAGGCGCCGAGAGCGAGCCAGGGCUACGAGGCUGCCAGCACGCUGUCACCUCUCAGUAGGAGCACAAACCCUAUUGUGAACUACGAGUGUGAAGAGUCUAGGUUAUCUGCUCCUUAUGAGACUCGAAUGCCUGAUGAUCUGUCAUUGUCUCUCAUCACGCCCAGAUGGGACCAUCUGGUUGAAGGAAAACAAGCUCAGGGCUUCCACUGAUACUACAUUAUGGUCCUGUUGGUUGUCCCACAGAAAGCCAAUUAUUGAGAGAAUGAGUAUUGCCAGAGAAGAAGGCUUUAUUCGGGUGCUCCAGUUGAGAAGAUGGGAGGAAAUUCAGCAUAUUUUGAACACUGGGAAGAAAGAGUCCUUAAACUUACUGUUGAACAAAAAGAGCAAUCCGCAACAUGAAAACCAA
rnacentral:lncRNA from 1 species